AUAAAGUUUUAUUUUGGCUUAAAAAUUUAUUAUUAAUUUAAUUUAUAUGUAAAUUUUUGUAAUAAAUUUUAUUAAUUUAAAUAAUUAUUAAUAUUAAAAAUUGCAAUAAUUAAUAUUAUAUAUAUAUAUAUAUUUAUAUGUUAAAGAAAUUUAGAAAUAGUAAUAUUAAAAAAUAUUGACAAAAUUUGUGCCAGCAGUCGCGGUUAUACAAAUAAUAUAAAUAAAUUUUAUUAGUUUGAAGUUAAAUUAAUUUAGUAAAAUGUAAAUAAAUUUAUUAGGUGAAAUUUUAAAUUUAUAAAUUUUUAAAUAGAAUAUUAAUUGAUUCUUAAAAAUUUUAAAUAAAAACUAGGAUUAGAUACCCUAUUAUUUAAAAUGUAAAAUUUUAAAAUUAAGGUAUUAAUAGUUAUGUUCUUGAAACUUAAAAAAUUUGGCGGUAUUUUAAUCUAUUCAGAGGAACUUGUUUUUUAAUCGAUAAUCCACGAUGUACCUUACUUAAAUUUGUUAUAGUUUAUAUAUCGUCGUUAUUAGAAUAUUUUUUAAAAAAGUUAAUUUUCAUAAUUUUUAAUAAUAAAAUAUAUCAGAUCAAGGUGUAGCUAAUAUUUAAGAAUAAAUGGGUUACAAUAAAUUUAUUUAAACGGAUAUGAAUUUGAAAUAUUUAUUGAAGGUGGAUUUGAAAGUAAAAUUAUAUAGAUAAAUAAUUUGAUUUUAGCUCUAAAAUAUGCACAUAUCGCCCGUCACUCUUAUUAUUAAGGUAAGAUAAGUCGUAACAUAGUAGGUGUACUGGAAAGUGUAUCUAGAAUGCA
rnacentral:ncRNA from 1 species